rnacentral:rRNA from 1 species
UACGUAGGCAGCGAGCGUUGUUCGGAUUUACUGGGCGUAAAGAGUGCGUAGGCGGUUUUCUAAGUUUGGUGUGAAAUCUCCCGGCUUAACUGGGAGGGUGCGCCGAAGACUGGAAGGCUUGAGUAUGGGAGAGGUAAGCGGAAUUCCUGGUGUAGCGGUGAAAUGCGUAGAUAUCAGGAGGAACACCUGCGGUGUAGACGGCUUACUGGACCAUCACUGACGCUGAGGCGCGAAAGCUCGGGGAGCGAACGGG